rnacentral:piRNA from 1 species
UCUUCUUGUGAGAGAAAGCCAAAUGUCCC